UGGGUUCCCCAAUAGGAGUUGACUGUUCGGACGAUAAAAGAUAACAUAUUUACGAAAAAUGUUUGAUCUGAAAAUUGGUCUGAAAUUCAAUGUUCCACUAUUCCGGUCAAUAACCUGCAUUGCAAGUGAUAUUAUUUUAAAGUCAAGUACAUUGAUAAAAGCACCAAAAAUGUUAAUUUUAAAAUGCAUCCAAUAGUUAACUGCAAGAACAGUUCAAGAUUGUAGCUAUAACCAUUAACAUAUAAUUUUAGCAUGAAUAAACUAUGCCGCAUUUCUCUCUAGAAAAGUAACCUCAGACAGGUAUAACAGAUGGCAAGAUAAACCUCUGGCUUAUCUUGGAACUUGAAAGGGGAUCCAAAAAGAAGAAGACUGAAAAAGGUGGACUAUAUUACUGCAAGCACUUUAUGGAAUAGACUAAAUGAAGUAGUUCGGUCACACCUCCUGCACAAAACUACAAAUCAAUAAAGUAGCUAUCAAGGUGCUUAAUCAUUUCAAAAAUAAACUGGGUAGUGCUUUAUAUCAACAUCUCAUCAACAGUUGAUCAAGCUCAUCUUUGUAGUAUUUCCCUUAAAAAUGUUCUUAUUAGUUGACCUUAGUUCAGUGAACCACGUUCCCAUAAACCUCACAAAUAUGGAAGCUGUGCCACAAGUUGUUGAUCCUGUCGGUUAAUAUCCUAUGAUUACAAUGUAUUAUUUCAUCUUUACAGGAAUGACAAGAGAAGGUAUUAUCAUGAGUUAUCAAUGAUUGAUCUGGUUCAAAACCAAGGUAACCAUAUUACAUGGAAAUAGAAGCUUACGUUGAGCAUAAAGUGCUAGCUCUCUACCUGAUACCAGAGAUUGGCUGAUGUUCCAAGAAAGGCUCCAUAGACUGUUGUUGCUUUGAAGAUGGGUGAUCUUUUAUUCACUUGACUAGUGACAAGGGUCGGAUUAAGUAUUUUACGCAUUGCAUACUAGAUAUUGGAGGCAACCACAACUCCAAUGCUGGAAAUAACAUCCACAUUACCAAGCUUCAAGCCACCAAUGAGCACUGAAGCAACUUU
rnacentral:lncRNA from 1 species